UACGGGGGGAGCAAGCGUUGUUCGGAUUUACUGGGCGUAAAGGGCGCGUAGGCGGCCACCGCAAGUCGACUGUGAAAUCUCCGGGCUUAACCCGGAAAGGUCAGCCGAUACUGCGGGGCUAGAGUGCAGAAGGGGCAACUGGAAUUCUCGGUGUAGCGGUGAAAUGCGUAGAUAUCGAGAGGAACACCUGCGGCGAAGGCGGGUUGCUGGGCUGACACUGACGCUGACAGCGCGAAAGCUAGGGGGAGCGAACGGG
rnacentral:rRNA from 1 species